rnacentral:rRNA from 1 species
UACAGAGGGCGCGAGCGUUGUCCGGAAUCACUGGGCGUAAAGGGCGCGUAGGUGGCGGCCCAAGUCCAUGGUGAAAGCUCGAUGCUCAACAUCGAGUCGGCCACGGAUACUGGGUUGCUCGAGCACUGUAGGGGCAGAUGGAAUUCCGGGUGUAGCGGUGGAAUGCGUAGAGAUCCGGAAGAACACCGGUGGCGAAGGCGGUCUGCUGGGCAGUUGCUGACACUGAGGCGCGACAGCGUGGGGAGCGAACAGG